GACGAACGCUGGCGGCGUGCUUAACACAUGCAAGUCGAGCGAUGAAGUUCCUUCGGGAAUGGAUUAGCGGCGGACGGGUGAGUAACACGUGGGUAACCUGCCUCAUAGAGGGGAAUAGCCUUCCGAAAGGAAGAUUAAUACCGCAUAAGAUUGUAGCUUCGCAUGAAGCAGCAAUUAAAGGAGUAAUCCGCUAUGAGAUGGACCCGCGUCGCAUUAGCUAGUUGGUGAGGUAACGGCUCACCAAGGCGACAAUGCGUAGCCGACCUGAGAGGGUGAUCGGCCACAUUGGGACUGAGACACGGCCCAGACUCCUACGGGAGGCAGCAGUGGGGAAUAUUGCACAAUGGGGGAAACCCUGAUGCAGCAACGCCGCGUGAGUGAUGACGGUCUUCGGAUUGUAAAACUCUGUCUUCAGGGACGAUAAUGACGGUACCUGAGGAGGAAGCCACGGCUAACUACGUGCCAGCAGCCGCGGUAAAAC
rnacentral:rRNA from 1 species